UUCACUUAUAUAUCGACUGUGCAUUUUAAUGGAUCCUUUAGAACAUAGGGGUUGUUAAUUGGUUAGGGGUUGUUAGUAGUGAACUUGUGAUUGCAGGGCUGAAAACAAACUUUAGAACAUAGGUAGAAAAAAUUUGGAACAUAAGAAAAAAUUAGAACAUAGGUUGAAAUAAUUUAGAACAUGGGCUGAAAAUAAACUCAAUCAAACCUUAUCAUGUUUCUGUUUCAUUUGUCUUUUAAAUUUCUAGUUUACUCAUUCUAUUUUGGGUUUUUCACUCUCUAGCAUGUUCUAAACUAUUUUUCAGCAUAUUCUAAAUUAUUCCUAUGUUCAAAAAUAUAAUAAUAAUGUUGGAAUGUUACUAAUGUUUUUGAUUUCUUAAUGUUGCAGUAAAAUGCAAGGCCAAAAUGAAGAAAAAUCAGAAGAAGGAGUUACUAAUAUACAAGAAGAAGAAAUUACUUAUGUAAGAAAAAGGAAAGUUGAAAACGUUGAAGCGGAAGUAAUUGAUAGAUCGGAAUUUGAGAAGCAUAUUGAAAGUAAAAGUGUUGCUAUAAGACAUAGAAAACUUCCAACAAGGCUUUAACCACCUCGAAAAUUGCAAAAAAAGGAAGGAAGAGAAAAAGAUCAAGAAGAAGGAAAAGAUCAAAAAGAAGAAGAGGGUAAUAAUGUUGAGGAUGAUGACAAGAAUAAUGAUAGUAAAGAUGAUGGUGAGGAUGAUAAUAAGGGUGAUGUAAAGAUGAAAGAGAAAGAUGAAAAAGAGGAGAUGGAAGAUGAUAGUGAGGAGGAACAAAAAAUCAAUAAAAAAAAUCAAACUCAGAAGAAGAAAAGAAAGAUUGAAAAAGAAGAAGAUGGUGAGGAUGUCCAAGUAGUAGAAGCUAAUGAGCAAGAUAAACUAGUUAAGAGGCAACCUUAUCAAAGAGUACCUCCUACUCAAUUCAUGAAGGAUGUGUUGAUAAAUCUUUCGGA